UCGGGAAUAUUGCGCAAUGGAGGAAACUCUGACGCAGUGACGCCGCGUGCAGGAAGAAGGUUUUCGGAUUGUAAACUGCUUUAGACAGGGACGAAAUAAAUGACGGUACCUGUAGAAUAAGCUCCGGCUAACUACGUGCCAGCAGCCGCGGUAAUACGUAGGGAGCAAGCGUUAUCCGGAUUUACUGGGCGUAAAGGGUGCGUAGGCGGUUUGGUAAGUUGGAUGUGAAAUACCCGGGCUUAACUUGGGGGCUGCAUCCAAUACUGUCGGACUUGAGUGCAGGAGAGGAAAGCGGAAUUCCUAGUGUAGCGGUGAAAUGCGUAGAUAUUAGGAGGAACACCGGUGGCGAAGGCGGCUUUCUGGACUGUAACUGACGCUGAGGCACGAAAGCGUGGGGAGCAAACAGGAUUAGAUA
rnacentral:rRNA from 1 species